rnacentral:rRNA from 1 species
GACGAACGCUGGCGGCGUGCCUAACACAUGCAAGUCGAACGGAAAGUCCCUGCUUUUUUGGGCUGCUCUAGUUGCGACCUGGUGAGUAACACGUGAGUAACCUGUCCCUGCCUUUGGGAUAACUUCAUGCAACUUGGUCUCAUACCAGAUAGGAUCUCCUGCUUCAUGGUGGGGGCUGGUUAGUUUCGGUGGUUGGGGAUGGACUCGCGGCGUAUCAGAUUGGUGGUUGGGUAGUGGCUUACCAAGGCCUUGACGGGUAGCCGGGCUGGGAGGGUGACAGGCCAAAUUAGGACUGAGAUGAGGCACGGACUCGUACGGGAGGGAGAAGAGGGGAAUAUAGUACAAUGGGAGGAAGGAUGAUGCAGCAAAGCAGCGUGCGGGAAGAGGGCCUUGGGGUAGUAAACCGAUUUCGCCUGUGACGAAGCGAGAGUGACAGUAAUGGGUGAAGGAGCACCGGCUAACUACGUG